rnacentral:rRNA from 1 species
GGAUGAACGCUGGCGGCGUGCUUAACACAUGCAAGUCGAACGAAGCACCUCUCCCGAAGAUUGACACAGCUUGCUGUAGAUUGAUUCAUUUGAGGUGACUGAGUGGCGGACGGGUGAGUAACGCGUGGGUAACCUGCCUCAUAGAGGGGGACAACAGUUGGAAACGACUGCUAAUACCGCAUAGUAAGAAGAAUUCGCAUGUUUUCUUCUUGAAAGAUUUAUCGCUAUGAGAUGGACCCGCGUCUGAUUAGCUAGUUGGUAAGGUAACGGCUUACCAAGGCGACGAUCAGUAGCCGGCUUGAGAGAGUGAACGGCCACAUUGGGACUGAGACACGGCCCAAACUCCUACGGGAGGCAGCAGUGGGGAAUAUUGCACAAUGGGGGAAACCCUGAUGCAGCGACGCCGCGUGAGUGAAGAAGUAUUUCGGUAUGUAAAGCUCUAUCAGCAGGGAAGAUAAUGACGGUACCUGACUAAGAAGCCCCGGCUAACUACGUG